rnacentral:rRNA from 1 species
CUACGGGAGGCAGCAGUGGGGAAUCUUGCGCAAUGGGCGAAAGCCUGACGCAGCAACGCCGCGUGCGGGAUGACGGCCUUCGUGGUUGUAAACCGCUUUCAGUAGGGACGAAAAUGACGGUACCUGCAGAAGAAGUCCCGGCUAACUACGUGCCAGCAGCCGCGGUAAUACGUAGGGGACAAGCGUUGUCCGGAUUCAUUGGGCGUAAAGAGCUCGUAGGCGGUCUAGUAAGUUGGGUGUGAAAGCUCCGGGCUCAACCCGGAGAGGUCACCCAAAACUGCUAUGACUAGAGUCCAGUAGAGGAGCGUGGAAUUCCUGGUGUAGCGGUGAAAUGCGCAGAUAUCAGGAGGAACACCAGCAGCGAAGGCGGCGCUCUGGGCUAGAACUGACGCUGAGGAGCGAAAGCAUGGGUAGCAAACAGGAUUAGAUACCCGUGUAGUCC